AUAAUGUUGAUGAGAAAAAAAGUAGAUUCCUGGUUGGGGCCACUGUCUGUGUAAAGUCUGCAUGUCCUCUUUACAUUUAUCUGGGUGUUUUCCAGGUACUCUGAUUUCCUCCCACAUCCCAAAGAUGUGCACAUUCAGUGAACCAGUGUUUCCACAUAGUCCCAGUCUGGGGAAUACUGGGAUUAUUAUGAGAAAUUAUCGAAAUCCAGAAUAUUCAGGCCGGAAGUUGCCAGCAUCUACUGCAGUGACCUUGAUCCUGUCCAUGAAUGAAGUAGAAUGAGACCCGUAUUUGGGAGCAAUGAAAGGAAACACAAGAUGUUCCCAAUUAUUUCAACUUUCCAUGCUACCUACCUCACUCAUUUGCCUUCAUUUUGAAGUCAUGAGUUGAAGCUGUUUGGAAAAUAUUGUGGAGAGGAAAGAGUGACUUCUAGCUACAAAGAUGGAAAACAUUGCCGGGACCCAGGAGAGAUGUGUAUUAAGCAAAGUUUAACUUCAAGCCCCCAGUCUUUCUCUACUGAACAUUUUCUUGCCUCAAUAACCUCUGGCCCCUCCUUUCAGGCUUCAGCAGUAUUUGUGCUCAUUCUUUGGUCCUCCCUGCCACCCUGACCCCAUUUUUUGUUAUCAAAUUAUAUAUUCUGGUUUACCAAGAAAUUGGAGGGAUUCACAUAGACAAAAGUCUGUUUUACUUAUGAAAGCAGUAUUUUAUUCAAAAUAUCGAACAAAGGUUGAAAAUAAAGGUGUUAUUCCCAGUCUCAUGUCAGAGACUCACCAGUCCCAAACCCAGCUGGACCUGCUCUGGAUUACGGCAACGUCAUUAUCAAGGUUAUGACUGUCUUUGGCGCAAGUCUUCACAGUGGGAUCCGUGAGCUCACGGCAGAAGGUAAGUCUGGAGUUCUCCUACAUAUGAUGCAUAUCUAGGAGAUAUGAAUGGGCUGCAUAGAGCCCCUCUGCAGUUGACUGAAAAUAAAAUGUAAAGUUAAUGCAAUUCCUCACCUUAGACUUCAUUCCUAAGACUAUAUGGAAAGACAUAAGAACUGAUUUUUGGUGUUGCCAUCAGCAGCGGAGGGUGCUGCAUUAGGGGGUUGUGGAAGGAAAAUUCUCAUGCACUUCUCUUACAAGUUCUAGAUACUCAGCAAAUAAAUGUGUGUAUUCUUUCUGGAAAUGUGUGGUGUCCUUGCUGGGGCUGGGAUUGAACCUGAUGCUGAAGCAGGGUGUCCAAGUUUACUCUGAGAUGAUCUGAAAGGAGGAUGUGAAAAAGAGUGGUGGGAAAGAAAUUGUUGCAGGGUGGUAGCGUGUCUUAGACUGUUUGGGAUGCCAUAACAAACAGCAGUUGAUGGACUGGGCGGCUAUAAGGGAUAUAAACAGCAUGCAUGUUCAUUGAUGGCAAGCAGGAUAUGUCUUUGUUGUUUUUCUCCUAGGUGCUUGUCUAACAUGCUACACAUAUUUUACUGCCAUUUAUCUACCUUAUUGUCCAUGUCUCUACUGGAAUAUUUUCCCAUUGCCUACACUAGUGCUUGGCACAUAGUAUGUGCCUGAUUGAAAAAUUUGAGUCCCCCCCACAAUAAUAAUGGGAGACUUUAACACCCCACUGUCAACAUUAGACAGAUCAACAAGACAGAAAGUUAACAAGGGUAUCCAGGAAUUGAACUCAGCUCUGCACCAAGCAGACCUAAUAGACAUCAACAGAACUCUCCACCCCAAAUCAACAGCAUAUACCUUCUCAGCACCACAUUGCACUUAUUCCAAAACUGACCAAAUAGUUGGAAGUAAAGCACUCCUCAGCAAAUGUAAAAGAACAGAAAUUAUAACAAACUGUCUCUCAGACCACAGUGCAAUCAAACUAGAACUCAGGAUUAAGAAACUCACUAAAACUGCUCAACUAUGUGGAAAUUGAAC
rnacentral:lncRNA from 1 species